GACAGCAGCAGCCGCGGUAAUACAGAGGGUGCGAGCGUUAAUCGGAUUUACUGGGCGUAAAGCGUGCGUAGGCGGCUAAUUGAGUCGGAUGUGAAAUCCCCGAGCUUAACUUGGGAAUUGCAUUCGAUACUGGUUAGCUAGAGUGUGGGAGAGGAUGGUAGAAUUCCAGGUGUAGCGGUGAAAUGCGUAGAGAUCUGGAGGAAUACCGAUGGCGAAGGCAGCCAUCUGGCCUAACACUGACGCUGAGGUACGAAAGCAUGGGGAGCAAACAGGAUUAGAUACCCCCGUAGUCCCUGUCUCUUAUAC
rnacentral:rRNA from 1 species